rnacentral:rRNA from 1 species
GAUGAACGCUGGCGGCGUGCCUAAUACAUGCAAGUCGAGCGAACGGACGAGAAGCUUGCUUCUCUGAUGUUAUCGGCGGUCGGGUUAGUAACACGUGGAUAACCUCCCUAUCAGACUGGGAUAACUUCGGGAAACCGUAGCUAAUACCGGAUAAUAUUUUGAACCACAUGGUUCAAAAGUGAAAGACGGUCUUGCUGUCACUUAUAGAUGGAUCCGCGCUGCAUUAGCUAGUUGGUAAGGUAACGGCUUACCAAGGCAACGAUGCAUAGCCGACCUGAGAGGGUGAUCGGCCACACUGGAACUGAGACACAGUCCAGACUCCUACGGUAGGCAGCAGUAGGGAAUCUUCCGCAAUGGGCGAAAGCCUGACGGAGCAACGCCGCGUGAGUGAUGAAGGUCUUCGGAUCGUAAAACUCUGUUAUUAGGGAAGAACAUAUGUGUAAGUAACUGUGCACAUCUUGACGGUACCUAAUCAGAAAGCCACGGCUAACUACGUG